rnacentral:sRNA from 1 species
GGGAACGCCUUAAAAAUGUCUGUUCAUUUUUCACUCAGGACACAUUGCCAAAUGUCGCAUUGACAGUCUCAGUUCAUUUAGUUUUGUUCGGUCAGUCUCUGCUUGAUUGACUCUAUUUGCAGCAUAUAUAUCCAGCAUAUAGCCAGCAAUUAUAUGUUCGAGCCCAUGACGACGAUUUUGUGGCGUGCGUUGGCCGGUCCAAUGGCAUCAUCUACUGCGUUGUUUCUACCAACCCUGCGAAUGCGUGAUUUUCGGUUGGCAUUGAGGGACAAAGCAAGAAAACACAAGGAAAAAUGUAAUCAGAAGCAGUAAGAACUUGAAAUUUUUGUCCUGACAAGCGAAACAAAUGAAAAGUAUGCAAACUACGAACAUCAGUGACUGCGUUUUUCUUUCCCUUUUAUGUCGUCUUUUGAACCCAGUCGAAUAAUAAGAAUGCUGCCUUGGU